rnacentral:lncRNA from 1 species
CUGGAAGAGAAGAAAAGUUAUCGUCACAGUCGCUGUUAGCGUUAUUCUGUGUAAUUCACAUACAGAGUCACUUCUGUACAUUUUCAGCGAAAAAUUGUUACUGUUGUUUUCUGCCACGAGUAAACUAUUUUUGUAGUAUUUUUUAAAUUACGUAUAUUUUGCUCUCACUUUAAAACACAUUUUCUUCUUUUUUUUUUUUCUUUCUGCUCUCCAAGCCUCCAGGAAAAACAGUUUCUGUGGCACAUUUCUUACAGAGCUCAGCUAGAAUGAGUGGUGCAGAAAGUCCUACGGAUCAUGCAGAGUGUGCUCAAUCGUCAAGAAGAAAGAACUUAAAUUCUCUUGAACAAAAGAUAAGAUGUCUGGAAAAGCAGAGAAAAGAGCUCCUGGAAGUUAACCAGCAAUGGGAUCAGCAAUUUAGAAGCAUGAAAGAGUUAUAUGAAAGAAAGGUCGCAGAGCUGAAAUCGAAACUGGAUUCCGCAGAAAGAUUCCUGGGAACACUGGAGAAGGAGCGGCUGCAGAGCCCGAGGGAGAGCUGCCCAACGCGCCGCUGGACCAGUGAGCCGCUGCGGCUUGCGGAGAAGGAAAAGGAGAGCCUAAAUGGAGAAUUACAUGAAUUGAAGAUAGAGAAUAACCUUUUGAAGGAGAAAAAUGCUCUCAUAAACCACAAGAAGCAACAUUAUGAAUGUGAAAUAAAACGCCUCAAUAAGGCUCUGCAGGAUGCCUUGAAACUGGAGUGUUCUUCAUCUCCUGAGGACCCUUUGGGGAAGUCUGAAAUGGAGUGCAGCCAUGAGGAGAUGCGAACAGAAAUGGAAGUUCUCAAACAGCAGGUGCAAAUAUAUGAAGAAGACUUCAAAAAGGAGCGAUUAGACCGAGAAAGACUUAAUCAAGAAAAAGAAGAGCUACAGCGAAUUAUUCAGACUUCUCAAUCCCAGUUGAACAAGCUGAAUUCUCAGAUAAAAGCUUGUCAGAUGGAAAAAGAAAAACUAGAGAGGCAAUUAAAACAGAUGUGUUUCCCAACCUGUAACUGUGACUGGAAUUUCUACCGGAGGGAUCCGCACCUUCUGAUGGGCCCUGGGGCUGUGCAGGACCUACAGAAGCGCCCACCAGACUACCAAUGGUAUGCUCCUGACCAGUUUCCGCCAGAUGUGCAGCACAAGGCAAGUGGUCUCCCCUCAGAAAAGAAAGCCAGUCAGCAGACGCACACACGGGCGGAGGAGCACACGGGCCAGGGCCAGCUUGGUGGACGGCUCCCCGCCCAGUGCUUGCCGGGGCUCGUGACUGCCGCCGCCGCACACCCCCGCCUUCACUACGGAUGCCCAGGAACCACUCCCCUCGGCAGGAACGGAGGACGAAGCUGA